rnacentral:rRNA from 1 species
GGUUCAGGAUAAACGCCGGCGGCGUGCCUAAUACAUGCAAGUCGAACGAGGCUCUCGGAGCCGAGUGGCGUACGGGUGAGUAACACGUUGGUAACCUGCCCUCAGGACCGGAAUACCAGGCGGAAACGCCUGCUAAUGCCGGAUAAUAUCUUCAAAUCGCAAGAUUUCUAGAUCAAAGGCGGCAAUUGCCGCGCCAGAGGAUGGACCUGCGUCGCAUUAGCUAGUUGGCGGGAUAACAGCCCACCAAGGCGAGGAUGCGUAGCCGAGCUGAGAGGCUAAACGGCCACAUUGGGACUGAGACACGGCCCAGACUCCUACGGGAGGCAGCAGUAGGGAGUAUUUGGCAAUGGGGGAAACCCUGACCGAGCAACGCCGCGUGUGUGAUGAAAGGCCUUCGGGUCGUAAAACACUGUGAUUCUCUGGGAAACUUAUGAGGAGUGGAAAGCCUCAUAACUGACCGGACUAUUAGAAAGCAACUGCUAACUACGUGCCAGCAGCCGC